UAUCCUCAAUUUUUUUUCCGCCCUCCCUUCACGGCUUCACAUAAGAAAACCAUAGAUACACCAAUUUUGAUUCCACUUUCCCCUGAAACACCGAUCUUUAUUUCACUCUCUCCUUAAAAAAAAAAAUAGGAUUAAAAAUAAGAGGGAUGCAUCAAAUUAAUUUCAAUUGUCACACCCACCUCCAUGACAAGAAUUUAUAAGCCAUUUAAGAAUGUGUCCCCUCUGAAGACGAGCUCAAUAGUUGAAUAGGGAGAUUUCGUGUGCUAUAUUUGAGUUGGCAUGUGAAAUUGAAGCGACUGGGAAGUCACGUUAAACCAGCUUUUGAAAGGUUAUAUAAUGGCUACUCUCUUAUACGAGCCUUCAACCAGGACUAGAAUUUCAUUUGAAUCAGGAAUGAAAAUGUUGGGCUGGAAAUUUUCACAACUGAAAUGCACGAGAGCUUUCAUGUGUUGUAAAAGUAGAGACACUUGAAGGUAGUUUCAAGUGCUCCUUGAAGUUAUUUGACAUUCCAUCAGAGGUGGCAAGAUGGGCUGGUCGGGUGGGUAAGUUACGGGUCCAUAUCACUUUGGGUAAAAAUUGGUCAGUUUUUAGAAGGGGUCGAGUUUGGUUUACUGCAUAUGUCUCUUGUCCUUUUUUUUUUAAUUUUAUAAAAGUUUUAUGUCCAUUAACUAAUCUUUUGAAAAAAUAGAAAUUAUAUGCAUUAAAAAAGACUUUGCGCUGGUUUCAUCCUGUUACACAUUUGAGAUAAAAAUGCAACCCAAACUGACCUAUUUAUAAGCAAAUGGGUCAUAACAUCCACUUAUAUUCUUUGAUACUCCAGGUCAUUAUAGGUGUAAUGCCUAAUGUUUCAGCCUGUUUGACCCAUUCCCCCCUUUUUUAUUAUAGUUUCAUGUACUUGACCUGCUUGAAACUAAAACAACUUAAAUCAACCUAUUGAGGUGCAACCGAGGUGCAAGAGCUUCUGAACUUGCUCUCUCAGCUAUUGAGCCUCACACUCUCAAAUCGCAGUGACUCAUGACAAAGGAAACCAGAUCCAUCUCACAACUUCUCUGCUAAAUCCGUUAGAAUAUUGCUGCAAAAAUCAACAUACGGGCCUAAGUACUGGACCUUUCCAUGGAACAACUUGGCACCCCUAAAAGUUAAUGUCUUCGGUUAGAGGGCUGACCUGAUCCAGAUCGCAACAAAAGACCAGAUUAUGAAGAGACAAAUCCGGAUCGCAACAUCAACCUGCCACCUCUGCAACUCUCACGAAGAAGCAACCAACCAUCUCUUCCUGCAUUGCCCCUUUUCGGAUAUUCUUUGGGGACACAUGCUAUCUUGGUGCCAACGUAAGCAAGUUAGUAGUUAGGAAUAUAUUUUGUUUCCACGGUUUAAUGAUUUAAGAGGAGUGACUAUGUAUUUAUUGGAUAGAUUUGCACGAGUAUGAAGAGGUGUGGCAUGAAAACUGUAAUUGAUUUAGAUUGAA